AUUCCAAGUGGUGUUCCAAAUCAUAUUCCAAUAAUCCAAAAUUACAAAUAAUCAAAAAGGCCAAUACAUAAUACAAGGGGUGGGGUUACACGUUUAACCCAAAUUCUCAUAGUCUAGGAUAUUCUAAACUCUUAAUGGACCAAAUAUUUACAUAAUUAUCUCAAUAAUUUUUUUUAAAUUAAAAUAUAUAACAUGCCCAAAAGUUCUGUUACAGCUAGGAAGUUGAAAAGUUGGAAAUAAGCUGUAAAAUACAACAGUUUGAAGCAACUCUUCAAAAGAUUUUUCCAAAAACUUCUUGAAAUUC
rnacentral:lncRNA from 1 species